GUAUUGCUGAAGAAUUCCAAAUUAGGACGAAACAGCUGUCCAGUAC
rnacentral:hammerhead_ribozyme from 1 species